UUUUAAGGGUGAAGGUCUAGUUUUAAGUGGCAGCUUUUUGUUUGCAAGUCCCAAACCCAACAUUCAUCCGUUUGAAUGACCAGAAUAAUUUAAACACUUAGCAAGAACAAGAACCCGAGAACUUGUACAUUUUCAGUGAUCUCCUGCAAGUUUCUUUGGGAAUUUCAUCUGAAGAAAAUCAAGCUAAGUGUUUGUUUUAGCAUUGCAUGAUAAAAAUGGCAUUGGAGGACAACAGUAACGAAUUGUUGAUGCG